rnacentral:rRNA from 1 species
UACGGAGGGUGCGAGCGUUGUCCGGAAUCAUUGGGCGUAAAGGGCGCGUAGGUGGCCCGGUCAGUUCGUGGUGAAAGCGCGGGGCUCAACCCUGCGUCGGCCAUGAAUACUGCCGCGGCUGGAGCACUGUAGAGGCAGGCGGAAUUCCGGGUGUAGCGGUGGAAUGCGUAGAGAUCCGGAAGAACACCUGAGGUGAAGACGGGUUGCUGGGCUGACACUGACGCUGAGGCGCGAAAGCCAGGGGAGCAAACGGG